UCUAAGCAUUACCAUGCUCUUACUAAAUGGUCACCAAAUAUAUAUACUCUUAUCUUCUUUUGGGCUGAGAGGAUUCCCUCUUGAGGAGCUAUUAUGGCUGCCUUAAGCUGCCAGUUUCACUCCACCAACUUGUUCAAUUCUCAGAAUGCCAAAAGCAGGAGCAAACGUUUCAUUUCUUGCUCAGCGCAGCCUACACAAAGCAAUAUUAAGGUUGUGAUUAAUGGAGCAACCAAGGAAAUUGGAAGAGCAGCAGUGAUGGCAGUGACUAAGGCCAGAGGAAUGGAAGUAGCGGGAGCUGUGGAUAAUGGCCAUAUUGGGGAAGAUAUUGGAAAGGUGUGUGGCUUGGAAGAGCCCCUUGAAAUACCCAUAAUAAAUGACCUUACUAUGAUUUUGGGCUCUAUAUCUCAGUCCAAAGCAACAGGAGUUGUAGUUGAUUUCACUGACCCUUCCUCAGUAUAUGACAACGUAAAACAGGCAACAGCAUUUGGCAUGAAAAGUGUAGUUUACGUGCCCCGAAUCAAAUUAGACACAGUAGCUGCAUUAUCUGCAUUCUGCGAGAAGGCCAGCAUGGGUGUCUUGGUUGCACCAACCCUUUCCAUAGGAUCAAUAUUAUUGCAACAAGCCGCGAUUUCAGCUUCUUUCCAUUACAGCAACGUCGAAAUUGUGGAAUCCAGGGCUAACGCAAAUGAGCUUCCAUCAGCAGAUGCAAACCAAAUUGCCAACAAUCUCUCCAACCUGGGUCAAAUCUAUAACAGAGAAGAUCCUUCGACAGAUGUCUUGGCAAGGGGUCAAGUCCUAGGAGAUGGAAUUCGUGUACACAGCAUGGUCCUUCCAGGACUUCCUUCCAGCACAACAGUUCAUUUCUCAGGUCCAGGAGAGGUUUACUCUAUCAAGCAUGAUAUCACAGAUGUACAAUGUCUCAUGCCAGGCUUGCUAUUAGCCAUUAGAAAAGUAGUGCGCCUCAAGAAUUUGGUAUAUGGCUUGGAGAAGUUUAUAUGAAAUGACUCCACCUCUUCAAUCUUCUUGCCAACAACUUUUCAGCUUGGUUGAACUCGGGGGAUCUUCCAUUCCAGCAUGUUGAUCAACAUCGUAUACAAAGAGGCCACCCUUGGUGUGAGUGCAAUCAAUUUGGGCCAAGGAAAACUUGAUGUUUAUAAGCUCAUUGGGCUUUUCAAUCACGAAAUCUCCUACAUGGUAGUAGACCCACUCCCCAGGCCUACUCAAGUAACACUCUGAGAGCGAACGCUGGCCGUCUGAUGUGGAGAGUUGGAAUCGGACGGGCUUGAUGUCCCAGCCAUGGACUUGAUCAGCGUUGCACACGCGCCGGCCCAAUCUCUUGGAGGCCUUGCCCAAUUGGAGUCUGAAAACUAAGCUGUAUCUCCCCACAGGGAAUUCAAACUCUAGCUCCCCCACCACUUCAACCCACCACAUUUGUUGAAGAUAUGCAACACUAUUGAACCUGCAGGUGUAAUUACCAUAUUCAUAAUUUUAAUAUAAUUUCCACUAUAUGAACAAAGAUUUAUAAAAUUUAUUAACUCAAUCAUAGUUUUUAUCUUUGAUAAAAUUGUUAAUAAGCUUUUAGAAUUAGACGUGGCAACUCUUUGUACAUAAAUUUGUGAGAAUAAUGUAUGGAAGUAAUUAUUAUUUUUUACUUUA